rnacentral:rRNA from 1 species
AGAGUAUGAUACUGGCUCAGAACUAACGCUGGCGGCGUGUCUGAAUGAUGCGAGUCGAACGAGAACGGAUCCUUCGGGGUCCUAUUAAAGUGGCGAACGGGUGAGUAACAUGUGUGCAACCUGCCUCUGGAAGGGGGAUAACACCUUGAAAAGGGUGCUAAUACCGCAUAGAGUUGCAUGGCACAAGUCGUGUAAUGAAAGGUAGCCUCUGCUUGCAAGCUAUCGACCAGAGAUGGGCACGCAUCCUAUUAGCUUGUUGGUGAGGUAACGGCUCACCAAGGCGACGAUGGGUAACCGGCCUGAGAGGGUGAUCGGUCAUACUGGGAUUGAGAUAUGGCCCAGACUCCUACGGGAGGCAGCAAAUCGGAAUAAUCGCCAAUGGGGGAAACCUUGAGCGUGCGACGCCGCGUGAGCGAUGAAGGCCUUCGGGUUGUAAAGCUCUGUGUUGUGGGAAGAAACUCUGACGGAGUAAUAUGCCGUCAGAUUGACGGUACCAUAAUAGAAAGCCCCGGCUAACUACGUGCCAGCAGCCGCGGUAAGACGUAGGGGGCGAGCGUUGUUCGGAAUCACUGGGCGUAAAGGGCGUACAGGCGGCUAUAUUAGUCAAAUGUGAAAUUCUUGGGCUUAACCCGAGGCCUGCAUUUGAAACUGUAUAGCUUGAGAUCAGGAGAGGAGAGUGGAAUAUGUGGUGUAGCGGUGAAAUGCGUAGAUAUCACAUAGAACACCGGUGGCGAGGCGGCUCUCUGGCCUGAUUCUGACGCUGACGCGCGAAAGCUAGGGUAGCGAACGGGAUUAGAUACCCCGGUAGUCCUAGCCGUAAACGAUGGGUACUAAGUGUAGGAGGUCAUUGACCCCUCCUGUGCUGUAGCCAACGCAUUAAGUACCCCGCCUGGGGACUACGGUCGCAAGACUAAAACUCAAUGUAAUUGACGGGGGCCCGCACAAGCGGUGGAGCAUGUCGCUCAAUUCGAAGCAACGCGAAGAACCUUAUCCAGUGGCUUGACAUCCUUUGACAUCUGUGGAAACACAGCUUUCUCUUAUGAGACAAAGUGACAGGUGCUGCAUGGCAGUCGUCAGCUCGUGUCGUGAGAUGUUGGGUUAAGUCCCGCAACGAGCGCAACCCUUGUCUUUAGUUACCAGCGCGUAAUGGCGGGAACUCUAGAGAUACUGCCGGUGAUAAGCCGGAGGAAGGUGGGGAUGACGUCAUGUCCUCAUGGCCCUUAUGCCCUGGGCUGCACACGUGCUACAAUGGUCGGUACAACGGGUCGUGAAACCGUGAGGUGGAACCAAUCCCUAAAAACCGAUCCCAGUUGGGAUUGUAGUCUGCAACUCGACUACAUGAACUUGGAAUCGCUAGUAAUCGCGAAUCAGCAGGUCGCGGUGAAUACGUUCCCGGGCCUUGUACACACCGCCU